rnacentral:rRNA from 1 species
GAUGAACGCUGGCGGCGUGCUUAACACAUGCAAGUCGAACGAAGCACUUUAACCUGAUUCUUCGGAUGAAGGUUUUUGUGACUGAGUGGCGGACGGGUGAGUAACGCGUGGGUAACCUGCCUCAUACAGGGGGAUAACAGUUAGAAAUGACUGCUAAUACCGCAUAAGACCACAGAGCCGCAUGGCUCGGUGGGAAAAACUCCGGUGGUAUGAGAUGGACCCGCGUCUGAUUAGGUAGUUGGUGGGGUAACGGCCUACCAAGCCAACGAUCAGUAUCCGACCUGGGAGGGUGACCGGCCACAUUGGGACUGAGACACGGCCCAAACUCCUACGGGAAGCAGCAGUGGGGAAUAUUGCACAAUGGGGGAAAACCUGAUGCAGCGACGCCGCGUGAGCGAAGAAGUAUUUUGGAAUGUAAAGCUCUAUCAGCAGGGAAGAAAAUGACGGUACCUGACUAAGAAGCACCGGCUAAAUACGUG